rnacentral:lncRNA from 1 species
UUUUUUAAAUUUUUCAUUUAAAAGUUGUAGUUUCUGUAAAAGCUCUAUGACCAAACUUGCUGAAGAGGACAGCACAAAGCUCCACUCACCGCCUGCCACCCAUCCAAUGAAAUUCAUUGGGGGGGGUUGGGAAAGUGAAAAUUUCAAAUCCUAAAGAUUUUCUUUUUCCUAUAGAGUUUGUUGCUGUUGCCCGAAAUCCUAGCACUUAGAUAGGAGGCCCACAAGUUUAAGAGGAACCAGUAUGGGCUACACUGAAUGACCCUGUCUCCAAAACCCAAACAAAUAAAAACAAUCACCCCUUUUCAAAAGUCAGGGUUAACUGGGCAGUGGUGGUGGGUGGCAGGCGGAUUUGUGAGUUCAAGGCCAGCCUGGUCUACAGAGGGAGUUCUAGGACAGCCAGGGCUACGCAGAGAAACCCUAUCUCAAAAAACCAAAAGCAGAAAAUAGUACUGAGAGGACAGUCCUCAGCUUGCCAAAUGGCCGAAGUCAGACUGCAGUGCAAACGCCUUCAGGAGACGGCCACACUCCCUCUUCUCAGGAAUCAAAACAAGAUCUGUGACAACUUUAAAUCUUCUGACCACGGCCCUUUGAAGCCAUGGGUUUGUAGCUGUCAUAGAUUCCUGAGUUGUCCCAUGAAAAACAAUCUGGAUUUCCAGUGUUUGAACUGAAAUUUUCCUGUUUGGAGUUUGUGAAGUAAACGUUGGGGACAGCAAGAAGUAACUUGUAUGCACAUGCAGAGACGAAGCGAAGAGGUCGGAUCCCAGCAGAGUGGACCAAAGCAUCUACAAAACAACUGAGGCCAUCCCAGCAACAAAGCUCUGACUGGCCUAAGGCAACACCAUCUCAGAUCUGCAAACAGGAACACGCUGAAGCCUUCUCUCUUGUUUUAUUUAUGUGAUAUCAGUGUCUUCAAGGUAUUUUUGUUACUAAGUAUUAUCAUGAAGUUAAGAGAAAACUCUUAGGGGCCAUUUGUACUUUUGUUCCCCCUAUUGUCUGCAUACAGAUCCCUGUGUAAAAAUAUGAAUAAAUUAUACAAACAGCUCA